GAUGAACGCUGGCGGCGUGCUUAACACAUGCAAGUCGAACGGAGUGCUCGUGAAAGAGUUUUCGGACAAUGGAUCGGGUUACUUAGUGGCGGACGGGUGAGUAACGCGUGAGGAACCUGCCUCACACAGGGGGAUAACAGUUAGAAAUGACUGCUAAUACCACAUAAGCGCACGGCAUCGCAUGAUGCAGUGUGAAAAACUCCGGUGGUGUGAGAUGGAUCCGCGUCUGAUUAGGUAGUUGGUGGGGUAACGGCCCACCAAGCCGACGAUCAGUAGCCGACCUGAGAGGGUGACCGGCCACAUUGGGACUGAGACACGGCCCAA
rnacentral:rRNA from 1 species